CAGUAGCCGCGGUAAUACGAAGGGUGCAAGCGUUAAUCGGAAUUACUGGGCGUAAAGCGUGCGUAGGCGGUUUGUUAAGUCUGCUGUGAAAUCCCCGGGCUCAACCUGGGAAUGGCAGCGGAUACUGGCAAGCUAGAGUGUGUCAGAGGAUGGUGGAAUUCCCGGUGUAGCGGUGAAAUGCGUAGAGAUCGGGAGGAACAUCAGUGGCGAAGGCGGCCAUCUGGGACAACACUGACGCUGAGGCACGAAAGCGUGGGGAGCAAACAGGAUUAGAUACCCCCGUAGUCCCUGUCUCUUAUAC
rnacentral:rRNA from 1 species